CCCUUAGAUGCUCUGGGCCGCACGCGCGCUACAAUGAUUGUCUCAGCAUGUUUUGGGUGUGUAAAUACCCAGGAAUUCCGAGUAACAAUCGUGAUGGGGCUAGACCCUUGCAAUUUUUGGUCUCCAACGAGGAAUUCCUAGUAAAGGCAGGUCAUUAACCUGCCUUGAUUACGUCCCUGCCCUUUGUACACACCGCCCGUCGCACCUACCGAUUGAAUGGUCCGGUGAAAUCUCCAGACGUGGUUUUACCAUGAAAGCUGAUUGAAUCUUAUCAUUUAGAGGAAGGUGAAGUCGUAACA
rnacentral:rRNA from 1 species